rnacentral:rRNA from 1 species
GUCCACGCUGUAAACGAUGAAUGCCAGGUGUUGGAGGUUUCACCCCUUCAGUGCCGUCGCUAACGCUUUAAGCAUUCCGCCUGGGGAGUACGGUCGCAAGAUUAAAAACUCAAAGGAAUUGACGGGGGCCCGCACAAGCGGUGGAGUAUGUGGUUUAAUUCGACGCAACGCGCAAGAACCUUACCCGGCCUUGACAUCCUUGGAACCCGGCGGAAACGUUGGGGUGCCCCCUCACGGGGGAGCCAAGAGACAGGUGCUGCAUGGCUGUCGU